rnacentral:sRNA from 1 species
UUACUUGCUGAACUGGUUGGGCACAUGAGCAGGAUGUCUGGACUGGAGCAGUGUUCUGACACGAACAACUGUACUGUUGUGGUUGAGUUGCUUGUUGGCAUGAACAACUUGGUUGAACUUGUGAAGCACAACCACAUGAUUGACGUUUAUCACGAAUUGAAGAUGCCUAGAAAUAAUAUAAUGUUUCAAGGUGUAC